rnacentral:rRNA from 1 species
UACGUAGGGGGCAAGCGUUGUUCGGAAUUACUGGGCGUAAAGGGCGCGUAGGCGGCAUGGCAAGUCAGGAGUGAAAGGCCUGGGCUCAACCGAGGAACUGCUUUUGAUACUGCCAAGCUAGAGUGCGGAAGGGGCAACUGGAAUUCCCAGUGUAGCGGUGAAAUGCGUAGAUAUUGGGAAGAACACCUGAGGCGAAGGCGGGUUGCUGGGCCGACACUGACGCUGGAGGCGCGAAAGCCAGGGGAGCAAAGCGGGAUUAAGAUGACCCGAGUAGUCCC